rnacentral:rRNA from 1 species
CCUACGGGUGGCUGCAGUGGGGAAUAUUGGACAAUGGGGGGAACCCUGAUCCAGCCAUGCCGCGUGUGUGAAGAAGGCCCUCGGGUUGUAAAGCACUUUCAGUGAGGAAGAACGCCUGGUGGUUAAUACCCAUCAGGAAAGACAUCACUCACAGAAGAAGCACCGGCUAACUCCGUGCCAGCAGCCGCGGUAAUACGGAGGGUGCGAGCGUUAAUCGGAAUUACUGGGCGUAAAGCGCGCGUAGGUGGCUUGAUAAGCCGGUUGUGAAAGCCCCGGGCUCAACCUGGGAACGGCAUCCGGAACUGUCAAGCUAGAGUGCAGGAGAGGAAGGUAGAAUUCCCGGUGUAGCGGUGAAAUGCGUAGAGAUCGGGAAGAAUACCAGUGGCGAAGGCGGCCUUCUGGACUGACACUGACACUGAGGUGCGAAAGCGUGGGUAGCAAACAGGAUUAGAUACCCCAGUAGUC